rnacentral:rRNA from 1 species
ACAUCCAGCGAACUUGGCAGAGAUGCCUUGGUGCCUUCGGGAACGCUGAGACAGGUGCUGCAUGGCUGUCGUCAGCUCGUGUUGUGAAAUGUUGGGUUAAGUCCCGCAACGAGCGCAACCCUUUAUCCUUUGUUGCCAGCGAUUCGGUCGGGGACUCAAAGGAGACUGCCGGUGAUAAACCGGAGGAAGGUGGGGAUGACGUCAAGUCAUCAUGGCCCUUACGAGUAGGGCUACACACGUGCUACAAUGGCGCAUACAAAGAGAAGCGACCUCGCGAGAGCAAGCGGACCUCAUAAAGUGCGUCGUAGUCCGGAUCGGAGUCUGCAACUCGACUCCGUGAAGUCGGAAUCGCUAGUAAUCGUGGAUCAGAAUGCCACGGUGAAUACGUUCCCGGGCCUUGUACACACCGCCCGUCACACCAUGGGAGUGGGUUGCAAAAGAAGUAGGUAGCUUAACCUUCGGGAGGGCGCUUACCACUUUGUGAUUCAUGACUGGGGUGAAGUCGUAACAAGGUAAGCGUAGCGAG